UACAGAGGGUGCGAGCGUUAAUCGGAAUUACUGGGCGUAAAGCGUGCGUAGACGGUAGCGUAAGUCAGAUGUGAAAGCCCCGGGCUCAACCUGGGAAUUGCAUUUGAGACUGCUCUGCUCGGGUGCGGAAGAGGGAAGCGGAAUUUCCGGUGUAGCGGUGAAAUGCGUAGAUAUCGGAAGGAACACCAGUGGCGAAAGCGGCUUCCUGGUCCGAACCCGACGUUCAGGCACGAAAGCGUGGGGAGCAAACAGG
rnacentral:rRNA from 1 species